UUUCAGGUUACCCCACCUGAACGUCCUCCUGGGAGGAAGCAGGGCAUGAAUCCGAAGGAAUUAGUGAAGUCUUUCCAUAGCCAUCCUUGAUGGCGGAGCGGAGGUGUGUCUCAGCAAAAAGAUGAUCGUUGGAUAUAUAAGGGCUACAGUCACUGAGAAAACUUCGCCCAAACUGCUCUUGGGUGAAUGUCUGGGGGCGUUAUUCCAUAAGUCUACAGCUUGAUUCAGUCUCCUGCUGAAAAUAUAAACGGGAAACAGCAGAGUCAAUGAAAGGAGACAAGUGGUGCUAACUGACUGACAAAGGGCUGAAGUAUAAGGUGCUGGGACCAGUUGUCAGUAAAGGGAGUAUGAUUCAAUGAAUCAAUUAAAUCAGGAUGGAGAAGAGAAGCAAAAAGUCCAAGCCAGAUAACUGGAACUACCUAUGAAACCGGAGGGUGUGGUGAACAAAAGCAAAACGAUUAGUCACAAGGUCAGGAGCAAGCAUUGGGAAACCUGGAUGAAGAAGAAGGUGGGAGAAGACAAGGAGGCUACCAUUUUCUCUGCAGGAAAUGGUGGUUAGCUCAAAGCAGAGGAG